GUAGUAGGUAUCCUAGGUGCUUUACCAUGUGCAUGCCAGAGUAUAGGAGAUACACCUGAUGAUAUCCAGGACUUUUAAUAUUAGUAAAUUUCCAGAGAUCCUGUGGGUUGGUGCAUAUGGGGAUAGUCCCUUGAGACAGGCGACAAGUUUCUGCACCUUGUACUGCUCACCUUGAAGAAAGAUACAAUGUGUGAUGCUUUCCAUUUGAGAAGCAGCUCUUUACUUGCUAGUGGACGCUGGUAAAAGACUGAACGUCUGAAUUUUCCAUCAUAAAUUGGGAAUUAUCUGACCUACGAAGUCUUAAAACGGGAUGUGCACAGAGGCAGUCCAUUGUCAAAUGGAAAUGGUUUAAGGGAAGAGGAAAACCUUUCUCUUGCUGUGAUCGCAAAGUACUAAACAGCUAAGGUACUACCCACUUGCGAGGAACAUUUCCUGUUGGCGCCACAAUUGAGGACGAAGAGUGUGGUGUGAGAGCUCCCUCUUGUGGCUUUCCAACUUAAUUUCAAAGGAAGUAAAUGGGAUGAAGUAAAGAGAGGCCUCAAGAAGAAGUGAAGGCCAAGGAGACUCUGUGGUUCCCAGAAACCAGGAAGAAGAGCCAUCAGCCAAAUAAUUAGCAGCGCUUCUAACUUGAACAUCUUCAGAGUCUCCAGCAGCAACUGGAAAGGGAAAACAACAUCCUGACAAUAUAUAUUCAGACACAUACGGUCAGCAUCAUGAAGCUCUGGACACCUCAACUCAUGAUAUUCUUCUGUAUGGUGCUACUGUCUGUGCUGGGAGUGCUGAAGGAAAAACAUAGCAGGGAUGAAAGGCUCAUUGAGGAGUGCUGGGGAGAACCCAAUGUCAUUGAAUGUACCAGGAAGUGUUCUAGAGCCCUUAGAUGUUCAAACAAAAAUUACACAUGCUGCUGGACCUAUUGUGGAAACAUCUGCUGGAAAAAUGAGGCCACAACCUCCUCUCCCCCUCCCCAAGUAAGAAGAGGCCACAUAAAAGAGCUAUCAGCCAGUUCCUCACACACUCAACUCAAACACCUUCAGAGGUAGCAUUGGGACAAGACCUGUCUUCUGCCAGAACUUAACCCAAACAUACAGAGUAACAAUCAUGAAGCCCCAGGUUCUCCUACUCAGCAUGCUCUUCUAUGAGGUUGUGAUGCUUCUGCCUGUACUUGUCAAGGACAAGACAUUUUGUAGGUGGUAUGACAUGGGAGGAAGGGUCUCCCCACAGGCCUGGGAUAACGGGUGUAACUGAUUGUGGGACCACCUUUUUUGGACCACAACCCUCCUUAAAGCAGGGAUAUCCAAAAGAUUUAGGAUGUAUGUUUCCAGUUUGGUGCUCCUCUAAAUCCCCCUCUGAGAUCUGAAAGUGAUAAUGAGCAUGUGGAAAGGGAACCUAGCUUUGUCUAUAAGUACAUCCUGUAAGCUAUCAGAAAUGAUAAUUUCCAGUAUUAGACUACCUUAGACAGGGGAAACACCAACACAGAGCUGCCCUGAGUCCAUAUUUUCAGGUUUCUUGCCUUUGAUGAAUACCAAAGGGCAAUAUUAUUUACUUGGAAGGGAAGAGUCUUUUAGAAUAUGAAAAAACAAGAAAGGAAAAGACAAGAAAGAGAUUCUUAGGAGUCAAAGUUUGGGGUCAGAUGAUAAAGAGGGGAUAAUGAAGGGAGGGUUGUGAGCUAGUGAAAGAUAUGGAACAUAGAGAGAGAUUGAGUGCUUAGGUGGUAUGAGCACGGAGGCAAAAAGACAAGGGUAAAGAUAGUACCUAUGACCAAGGUGCUAUUACGUUUGGCUGUCCCCAGGGCUCCCUGCAUUUUAACCACUUGACUUUUCUUUUCCAGAGAACCCUUUAAAAGCAUGCUAAACCCCUAGGUUCUAGCAGGCCCACCACGAGUGUGGACUAGAGGAUGACAGUUUAACCUAAGAAGAGUGCUACCUGGCUCCCUACUGGGUUAUUCACUUGCCCUGGCUGAGGAUCCUUCCAUUCUCCCCUUGAUCUCUCUGUCCUGAGAAGGUCCAAGUGUCUGCCAAAUAAACUGCUAACCAACCUGAGGGCCCUGCUUUGUCUUAUGCUGCAUUCCUGUGGUUACCUUCUGUUUUAUGAUGACCAACUGUUGUUCCCAUCUGAUCACCAUGGGUAUAGGCACCCAACUCUGCCUUCCCAGUUAGACCAACAUAUUAAUCAAUAACCUUAUAGCUGUAACAAAAAUGCAGAGACUUAUAAAUAUCUCAGUAAAAACAGUAAAAGUUUAUUCUCUUUCACAAUACAUUUACUGAGCAUUUUCGGUGAAUGACCUCCAUUCCAUGCAUGAUUUAGGGACCCUGCAUCCUUCUCCCUAUAACUCCAUCAUUUUCUGGGGGGUCCUCUGCAAUCAGACAGUAGAUUGGAGAAAAUGGCAGCAUUGAGGCUCCUACGGAAGCUUUUUGAGGACCAGGUCCAUAAGCGUAGCUCUGUUUCUAUCCACAUUCUAUUUGUCUGUCUCAUAUUACCGUAGAGACAUAUGUGGAAAGGAAGGGGCUGGCCAGUUAUGGGAGGUCACGAGGAAAGGCAGAGUUAUUGUUGCCUCAUGUCAACCUCAUUCAUAAGAUUCUACUAUUAUAGAAAAUAUUUCAGUUAGUAAUCUGGGGAAGAAACUGAUAAUGCACAAUAUGUGUAAAUGAUGUGAGCAUGAAAUGAGCUUAAGUUUGAUGCAGUGACUAUAUAUCAUUUUCCCUGAGUGCAUAGAUAAACAUUUUUGCAUUCAUAGUUCUUUAGAAAAUAUUUUUUAAAAGUCUGGGUAGGUGUGAAGUGGGUAGAGUCAAACUGUUAUAUUUAACCUCUCCAUUGCAUCCACACUUGGAUUUUUUUCUCCAUCAGUGUGGUGGAACUCUGUUACAAGCCUGGACAGCCACAAAGCUCUGUCACCUGUGGGUUAUUGUCUAAAUGUGUGUUCUCCAGUGGCUCCUGGUCUGUGGUGGAGGAGAGAUAGAGCCAGUUCUCAGGCCACUUCAGGGUCCUGUGCCAAGCCUGAGAUCUCCAUGCCUAUGACCCAAUCCAUAGCUGAGACUCCUCCUUGGUCCCUUGGCAUAUGGUGCUGGAUUCACAGCUUCCACAAAGGUACCUUUGUCUGUGAGUAGAUUCCAAAUGUUGCAUGUGUGUGUGUGGGCUCAAGCACAGGAGUCUUAUUCAGUCAUCUUGCUGAUGUCACUCCCAAAAAUACCUUAAUGAAAUUGAAUGAAAUAGAAUUAGUGUAUCUAUAAAAACUAAAUUCAGUAUUCUUUCAAAAUGUAAUGUGCUGCUAUCAUUUAGGAACUAAUUCUUGUGGAACCCAGAAAAUGUUGGGGAAAUGCAGGCUUAGAAAAAGUUGUCCACUUCAAAUUUUAUAAUCAAUUUUUAAAAGUCUCUGGUGAUUUUUAAAUUUUAGUUAACAUAUUUAUUGACAUUCUUUUUAGAAAAAGACUAUAUUUAUUUGAGAAAGAGAAGGCCUGAGAAGGGGCCGGGGAGCAGAGAGAGAGGGAGAGGCAGACUCAUUGCUGAGCAGAGAGCCCAACAAAUGGAUCCAUAACAGGACUCUGAUAUCAGGACCUUAGAUAAGAUCCUGAGCCAAAGGCAGAUGCUUAACCAACUGAGCCACUCAGGUACCCCCAUUUACUGAUAUUCUUAAAUGGCUUUCCAAAUAUACCAGAACACUUCUAUAAUAAAUAUGUAUGAUUUGGGGGUUCAACUCUAAAGCUGUCUUUCAUGAAAGACAAAUAACAUCAUUAUGUAUCUAGGUAGUGGAUAACUGAUUAUAUCUGAUUAGUUUUCUUUGUGCUUUUCUGUGUUUUUCAAAUCUCUAAGUUAAAUAAUGAUAAAAUUAUGAAGAAUUCAUUUCUGUAAUGAGAGGAGUAGAAAGCAUAAGACAAGAAAAGUACCUCAGGAGAUGGCAGUGCCCAGCCAAGGAAUGGUGCCUGGAGGAGAUGAAGCAAAACCAGGUGGGGCAGUGAGAGACCAGUCACAUGUUCUUCAAACUCCACACCCCAAAGCCCUUCGGUAACCCCUGCAAGACCUGGUAAAAUACUGGGUCUGCUGCCAGGCUCACACUCAGACAUCCAGAGUUAACAUCAUGAAGUGGUUGUUUCUCCAGGUGGUGACACUCUACUGCCUGGUCAUCAUGCCAGUGACAGGAAAAAUGAAAGAAAGAAUUGAGAUUGUAACUUCAUCUCCAAUUUACAGUAGGUAUUUUGGUGGAGCUUCAAUCUGAAGAGGGGCUAGAAAACGAGGAGCCAGGCACUGGCAUAAUGAAAAUGUUGGUUCCUUUUUUAAGCCAGGAUACCUGAGGAAAGCUGGAUGUGCAGUUCUCAAGUUUGAGGGACUCCUGAUGUGACAAGUAAUGAUGUUUUUCUGUAUGUUGUGGGGACUGUGGUGCCUACAUGGUGUUUCUGUUGAAGAGGACUCAUAGCCGUGGAAAGCUGCACAGGAUUCAAAGCCCGCAUAGAGGGUGCCUAGCUUGAACCAUCAGGAGUUCGUGUCCUCCACUUGGGAGUUCCAAGGAUGAGCACCAAAUUGGGCAAGGGGGAGUAAUUAUUUCUUGAAAUAUGUCCUUUGUUUACCAAAUUGAGUAUUUUAGAACAUUGGGUGUGGGGAAGAGAACUAAAAUGGGUGAUUGACCAAGAGAAGUUUGGAAUGCCUGUGGUAAAAGAAUUGAAAUCAACAGAUUUGAGAGGAGAGUAGUAGGUCCUACUGUCUGGCAAAGGUUUCUGAGGAACAGCUAGGUUUGGAGGGUUGUCUCAGCCAGACAGGGAAAAGAAUGAGACAGUUCUUCCUUUCCUUUGGGACUCUGUUUCUCUCCCUUGGUAAAAUGAGAGCAGGAGACCAGAGAAUCUCUUGGUCCUCUUUGUUCUGUAAACUGGGUUUCAGGACUCCGGUCAUAUGAUGGUGAAUUCCAUAGAGGUGGCCUCAUGGUUGCUGGUUUGUUGGGAGGUAGAAGCUGGAUUUUGACUCUGGGAAUGGACAAGCCACCAAGACCCCAGGCAGGGAGAAGAAGAGAAAGCAAUGGGUGCUAGGGCCUCAGAGGGGCUGAUAAUAGUGAGAAAAAACUCUUAUUGGAGUCACUGCUCAUGUGUUUCUUCUCAGUUAUACGUACACCACAACUAUUACAUUGCCCGGAUAUGCCUAACUACUAUGAUUGCAAGAAACAGUGCGACUUUUACUCAGAUUGUGGUAUUGGCAAUGAAUGCUGCUUGUCUGUCUGUGGAAAAAUCUGCAUGAAAAUGCCAGAACCUGAGACCCUCAGUGAUAGCAACCACCCCAGCACCACGGUGGUGUCUACUGUUGUUCCCUUGAAUUUCACUGAGAUGUUCCAGAGGCAUCAUCAUCAUAACACUACCUGAUAAUCAGUGGGACCAUUGUUUUGUCUCGGUGGGUUGGGGGAAGGAGGAGGACAUGUCUCCCCUACUUGUCAACCCUCUUCUCUGAACAAUUAUAUUGUCAGCUUCAGUUCAUUGACAAAUAAACAGUGGCAGUA